rnacentral:rRNA from 1 species
GAACUGAAGAGUUUGAUCAUGGCUCAGAUUGAACGCUGGCGGCAGGCCUAACACAUGCAAGUCGAGCGGAUGAAGAGAGCUUGCUCUCUGAUUCAGCGGCGGACGGGUGAGUAAUGCCUAGGAAUCUGCCUGGUAGUGGGGGACAACGUCUCGAAAGGGACGCUAAUACCGCAUACGUCCUACGGGAGAAAGCAGGGGACCUUCGGGCCUUGCGCUAUCAGAUGAGCCUAGGUCGGAUUAGCUAGUUGGUGAGGUAAUGGCUCACCAAGGCGACGAUCCGUAACU